rnacentral:rRNA from 1 species
AGAGUUUGAUCAUGGCUCAGAGCGAACGCUGGCGGCGUGCCUAACACAUGCAAGUCGAACGUGAACGGGGGCAACCCCUAGUAAAGUGGCGUACGGGUGAGUAACACGUAGGUAAUCUACCCUAAAGUCUGGAAUAACCGGCCGAAAGGCUGGCUAAUACUGGAUAGAGCGACGGAAUCCGUAAUUGGGUUUUUCGGGAAAGGGAGGGAGCAAUCCCCUUUGCUUUAGGAUGAGCCUGCGUCCCAUCAGCUAGUUGGUAAGGUAACGGCUUACCAAGGCUAUGACGGGUAGCUGGUCUGAGAGGAUGAUCAGCCACACUGGAACUGAAACACGGUCCAGACUCCUACGGGAGGCAGCAGUGGGGAAUCUUGCGCAAUGGACGAAAGUCUGACGCAGCCACGCCGCGUGAGUGAAGAAGGCCUUCGGGUUGUAAAGCUCUGUCGGAGGGGACGAAAAGCUUUGGAGUUAAUAGCUCCAGAGCCUGACGGUACCCUUAAAGGAAGCACCGGCUAACUCUGUGCCAGCAGCCGCGGUAAUACAGAGGGUGCAAGCGUUGCUCGGAAUCAUUGGGCGUAAAGGGUAGGUAGGUGGUCUCAUUUGUGUGGGGUGAAAGCCUUGGGCUUAACUCAAGAAGUGCCCCGCAAACGGUGAGACUGGAGUCCUAGAGAGGCUAGCGGAAUUCCCGGUGUAGCGGUGAAAUGCGUAGAGAUCGGGAGGAACACCAGAGGCGAAGGCGGCUAGCUGGAUAGGCACUGACACUCAACUACGAAAGCGUGGGGAGCAAACAGGAUUAGAUACCCUAGUAGUCC